rnacentral:tRNA from 1 species
GGGGUUGUAACUCAGUGGUAGAGUAACUGCCUAGCAUGUUCGAGGUACUGAGUUUGAUCCUCAGCACCACA